rnacentral:rRNA from 1 species
UAAGGAAUAUUGGUCAAUGGACGCAAGUCUGAACCAGCCAUGCCGCGCGAAGGAUUAAGGCCCUCUGGGUUGUAAACUUCUUUUAUAGGGGAAGAAAUGUGACGGUUCUCCGUCACUUGACGGUACCCUGGGAAUAAGCACCGGCUAACUCCGUGCCAGCAGCCGCGGUAAUACGGAGGGUGCAAGCGUUAUCCGGAUUCACUGGGUUUAAAGGGUGCGUAGGUGGGCAGAUAAGUCAGUGGUGAAAUCUUCCGGCUUAACCGGGAAACUGCCGUUGAUACUAUUUGUCGUGAAUAUUGCGGAGGUAAGCGGAAUAUGUCAUGUAGCGGUGAAAUGCUUAGAUAUGACAUAGAACACCAAUUGCGAAGGCAGCUUACUACACAAUCAUUGACACUGAGGCACGAAAGCGUGGGUAGCGAACA